AGAACAGUUAUCCAAGCCUCUGGAAGAAGUUGCUUUCUCCAGUCAAAUGACCUUUGAGAUCCUUACAGAAAGAUGCCCCGCCUUUUUGGGUCAGGCCAGUGGAAAGACUCCUCAUGCUGAUUCACAACUUUGUGGCCCCCACUGUGGGAACUGAAUAAAAAGAACCAGUGCGUCUGAACAUCAGAUAGCAGGAGGGCUCUCUCCUAUGGACCCCACGGAUUCCAGCUUAUACUCAGCAACCUCAGCCUGAAGAGCAGACUUCUGACUCAGUGCUUCUAGAAACGAUAUCAACCUCUUUGAGCCAACCUGGGCCAGGGGACCCUCCUGAGCCAAUCAUUGUGGCUGAUCAGCCAGGCCUGGCGGGUGGAAUUCCUAUCUGAAAAUGGGUGAGGGUGAGUCCCCAGGUGCUGUCACAGGCAGAGGGAGCAUCUCUGCAGGUGCUUCAGGGGGACCCGCUAGGGCUGGGGGCUGGGGGUGAGAGAACACCACUUCCCUCUCUCCACUUCCUGUGGAUCUGCUUAUAAAUAGGGCUCCCAAGCACCGUUUCAU